rnacentral:lncRNA from 1 species
AUGCCUAUUUAUGAAAGGGGUUUUCGAGUGUUUACCACUUUUUAUUAGAAAUAGAGACAGUAAGAAUGUUUGACUUAAUUGACACAGGCAUAAUUGAAUGGGUAUAAAUGGCAUGCCAUAGAAAGAGAAAAUUAAGUUGAGCUACUCUGUUGGUUUCACUGAUGAGGGGAUACAUCAUUCAAACAGCCAGGAAUUAAAUCCGUCCAGCUCACAAAUGGGGAAACCAGCUGUGUCUGUACCCAUGGCCAGCCAGAUUGAACACAAAUCAGGAAAGUCAAUAACUUUUCCUCAGUUCUGAGGGACUUCAGUGGCUGCGGUUCAUUUUCCUUUUGCUUCUGAAACAGUGCAAGUUGAUGCUCGCCUGGACAGAGCGGCAGUGAGUGGUGGCGUCUGAAGGCCAGGUCUCUGU